AUUUUUCUAAUUUUUGAGAUUUUGUUUCAUUCCUCUUCGUGUGAAUUUGGUUUUUUAUUUUUCUAAUUUUUGCUUCAAUAGAAUGGUUUAGGGUGGAUGAUCUAGCACCGAUUUAGGUGAAAAAGGGCACUAUUACAAAUUCCCGGAGCUAAUAUGUGGAUAUGGGGUAUCGAUUCUCUUCACAAAUUAUUCCAUGAUCAUCUAUCUAUUUGUUACCACGAACAAAAGUCAAAGUUCAUUGUAUGGCUUCAGGUGAAACGAGAGUCUUGAAAGUCUACCUAAAUAGGAAGAGAAGCAGAUGCUCAAACAAUUCAUGGUAGCCCAAAACACUUCCACUUUUCCUCAUAAAAAGAUAGCAAAAUACGAAAGCCGAUGAAGCAAAAUCAUAAAGCUAAAAAAGAAGCAGAUUCAAAAGCUUGAGACUCGAGUAUUCCAUGAAGAACAAGGGGUAGAAGUUGUGAUCAUGGUGCUCUCAUACUCGACCUUCUAUUUGAGUUUUGUCUCUUGCUUCAAUGUUCAGCACUUUUCCAUUACAUGGUAAUGACUUGGAAAGUAGAUCAACCUGAAUAAGUUAAAGUGUAUUGAUUGUUAAUAUACUCUACGAUCCCAUCUUUGCAUUAUGUUCCAAGCCUAUUGUUAUUGUUGCAUCUUUUCCCUCUUCAACUUUUUAAUAAGGUAAAGUUUGAUACAUUUGAAAUC